rnacentral:rRNA from 1 species
GACGAACGCUGGCGGUGUGCUUAACACAUGCAAGUCGAACGGAAAGGCCCUGCUUGCAGGGUACUCGAGUGGCGAACGGGUGUGUAACACGUGGGUGAUCUGCCCUGCACUUCGGGAUAAGCCUGGGAAACUGGGUCGAAUACCGGAUAGGAGCCCUCCUGAGUGUUGUGGGGGGAAGGUUUUUUCGGUGUAGGAUGAGCUCGCGGCCUAUCAGCUUGGUGGUGGGGUAGUGGCCUACCAAGGCGGCGACGGGUAGCCGGCCGGAGAGGGUGGACGGCCACAUUGGGACUUGGAUACGGCCCAGACUCCUACGGGGGGCAAGAGUGGGGAAUUUUGCACAAUUGGCGCAAGCCCGAUGCAGCGACGCCGCGUGGGGGAGUACGGCCUUCGGGUUUGUAACCCCUUUCGCUCGGGACGAAGCUUUUUGUGACGGUACCUAGUGAAGAAGCACCGGCUAACUACGUG